rnacentral:rRNA from 1 species
GACGAACGCUGGCGGCGUGCUUAACACAUGCAAGUCGAGCGGAAAGGCCCUGCUUUUGUGGGGUGCUCGAGCGGCGAACGGGUGAGUAACACGUGAGUAACCUGCCCUUGACUUUGGGAUAACUUCAGGAAACUGGGGCUAAUACCGGAUAGGAGCUCCUGCUGCAUGGUGGGGGUUGGAAAGUUUCGUCGGUUGGGGAUGGACUCGCGGCUUAUCAGCUUGUUGGUGGGGUAGUGGCUUACCAAGGCUUUGACGGGUAGCCGGCCUGAGAGGGUGACCGGCCACAUUGGGACUGAGAUACGGCCCAGACUCCUACGGGAGGCAGCAGUGGGGAAUAUUGCACAAUGGGCGGAAGCCUGAUGCAGCAACGCCGCGUGCGGGAUGACGGCCUUCGGGUUGUAAACCGCUUUCGCCUGUGACGAAGCGUGAGUGACGGUAAUGGGUAAAGAAGCACCGGCUAACUACGUG